AUUGAACGCUGGCGGCAGGCCUAACACAUGCAAGUCGAGCGAGCGGCGGACGGGUGUGUGAUUUAUGUGGACUGCUCGCUAGUGGGGGAGAACUACUGUAAACAAUAACUCAUACCGCAUACCACCGGAUAACCCCUAUGGGAUUAGCUAGUAGGUGAGGUAAUGGCUCACCUAGGCGACGAUCCCUAGCUGGUCUGUGAGGAUGAUCAGCCACACUGGAACUGAGACACGGCCCAGACUCCUACGGAGGCAGCAGUGGGGAAUAUUGCACAAUGGGCGCAAGCCUGAUGCAGCCAUGCCGCGUGUAUGAAGAAGGCCCUAGGGUUGUAAAGUACUUUCAGUCGGGAGGCGUUACCGACAGAAGAAGCACCGGCUAACUCCGUGCCAGCAGCCGCGGUAAUUC
rnacentral:rRNA from 1 species